rnacentral:rRNA from 1 species
CUGGCGGCAGGCCUAACACAUGCAAGUCGAGCGCUCACCUUCGGGUGGGAGCGGCGGACGGGUUAGUAACGCGUGGGAACAUACCCUUCUCUACGGAAUAGUCUCGGGAAACUGGGGGUAAUACCGUAUACGCCCCCCGAUCUUAAUAAAUUGGGGGGGAAAGAUUUAUCGGAGAAGGAUUGGCCCGCGUUUGAUUAGAUAGUUGGUGGGGUAAUGGCCUACCAAGUCUACGAUCAAUAGCUGGUUUGAGAGGAUGAUCAGCAACACUGGGACUGAGACACGGCCCAGACUCCUACGGGAGGCAGCAGUGGGGAAUCUUAGACAAUGGGCGCAAGCCUGAUCUAGCCAUGCCGCGUGAGUGACGAAGGUCUUAGGAUCGUAAAGCUCUUUCGCCAGAGAUGAUAAUGACAGUAUCUGGUAAAGAAACCCCGGCUAACUCCGUGCCAGCAGCCGCGGUAAUACGGAGGGGGUUAGCGUUGUUCGGAAUUACUGGGCGUAAAGCGUACGUAGGCGGAUUGGAAAGUAGGGGGUGAAAUCCCAGGGCUCAACCCUGGAACUGCCUCCUAAACUGCCAGUCUAGAGUUCGAGAGAGGUGAGUGGAAUUCCAAGUGUAGAGGUGAAAUUCGUAGAUAUUUGGAGGAACACCAGUGGCGAAGGCGGCUCACUGGCUCGAUACUGACGCUGAGGUACGAAAGUGUGGGGAGCAAACAGGAUUAGAUACCCUGGUAGUCCACACCGUAAACGAUGAAUGCCAGUCGUCGGGUUGCUUGCAACUCGGUGACACACCUAACGGAUUAAGCAUCCG